UGGGGAAUAUUGCACAAUGGGGGAAACCCUGAUGCAGCGACGCCGCGUGAGGGAAGAAGGUUUUCGGAUUGUAAACCUCUGUCCUCAGGGAAGAAAAUGACGGUACCUGAGGAGGAAGCCACGGCUAACUACGUGCCAGCAGCCGCGGUAAUACGUAGGUGGCAAGCGUUGUCCGGAAUUACUGGGUGUAAAGGGAGCGUAGGCGGGUGAGCAAGUUGAAUGUUAAAGGUAGGAGCUUAACUCCUACAUGCGUUCAAAACUGUUCAUCUUGAGUGAAGUAGAGGCAGGCGGAAUUCCUAGUGUAGCGGUGAAAUGCGUAAAUAUUAGGAGGAACACCAGUGGCGAAGGCGGCCUGCUGGGCUUUAACUGACGCUGAGGCUCGAAAGCGUGGGUAGCAAACA
rnacentral:rRNA from 1 species